UCAGCAAGCAGCUGCUGGGGGCAGCUCUGGGGGACCGUGACCUGUGUUGUGGGUAUGGAGCAGAGGAAGGUAGGGUGUGCUGUGGCUUUCUGAAAUACCCUGGUCUCCUGGUUAUUCUUUUACCCAGGAAAUCCUCUGGCAAGAACUGAAUGGUUUCCCAUGAAUGGGAAACCCAGACAGCGUGGUGCUCCAGAUUACUUUAAUGUGUUUUUCCUGGAACGAGGAUGCACCAGCAGUUCAUACUCUGCAGGUAUGGCUGCAACACCUGAUGGGGUGAUAACUGCAAUCAGGAGCCGUAGCCUGGUCUCCCUGCUCAGAGCCAGGCCGUGUUCCCACAGUGAAUUCUGCCCACGCUGCCUGGGAGGUCAGCCCCGGUCCAUGCGGUUACUUAUCCUCAUCUGCAUCUGUAGCUCUGAAGGAUGGAGGAUGAUGGAGGGCAAGCAGCAGCUUUUCCUCUGCAGACUAAUAGCUGUAGCAGCAGAGAUCUGUCAUGUCUUCAUGACUGCCAUGGUUUACAGUGCACUCCCCAUCUGCUGCAUGUAAAAAAGGCAAUGUCAGCCGUAAAAUAUUGGAAGUCUGACUCCAGCACAAAGAUCCCUGACAAUUUAAUAAGAAUUCCUCAUGGUGCUUCACAAGCUCUUUCAGGGUUCUGACACGAUGCCUCAGGCAGGAUGGAUUACACAGGCUCCCAGGCACUCUCCAAAAGGGAAUUGCGCUGGGCAGUAGGUGUGAGUCAGCGAAGCAGCUCACUUCAUCAGCACCGACUGACGGCUCGCAUCCUGUAAACUGAGGGUAACCUCAUACUUCCCAGCCCCCCCUUUUUUUUGCUGUGAGACAAGAUAGAGGACGUCACUGUUGCCUUCUUGAAUGGCUCACACGUAAGCCUUAGUGGGACACUGGGUUUAAUAAAUGCAUGGCAUCAUUGCUUCUAUAGGAAAGCUUUGCAUCCUUCAUGUAAACACAUAGAGUCAAUGGGGAUGGACGUAACUUUCUAUAUACUUAUUUUCCUGAAAUCUGUGAGUAUAUUCCAAAUAAAUCUUAGCAGAAGGUUU